GAUGAAGAACGCAGCGAAAUGCGAUACUUGGUGUGAAUUGCAGAAUCCCGUGAACCAUCGAGUCUUUGAACGCAAGUUGCGCCCGAAGCCAUUAGGCCGAGGGCACGCCUGCCUGGGCGUCACACGGCGUUGCCCCCCCCAUCUACUCCUUCGGGAUUGCGGGGGGCGGAUGAUGGCCUCCCGUGCGCCUCGCCGCGCGGUUGGCAUAAAUGCCAAGUCCUCGGCGACGCACGCCACGACAAUCGGUGGUUGCGAAACCUCGGUUGCCCGUCGUGUGCGGUCGUCGCGCAUCGAGGGCUCGAAAAAAUUGCCGAGUUCCGGCUCGGCUUUCAACGCGACCCCAGGUCAGGCGGGGUUACCCGCUGAAUUUAAGCAUAUCAAUAAGCGGAGGA
rnacentral:misc_RNA from 1 species